GACGAACGCUGGCGGCGGGCCUAAUACAUGCAAGUCGAGCGAAGCGGCGGAUGGGUGAGUAACGCGUGGGUAACCUGCCCAUAAGUUUGGGAUACCAUUUGGAAACAGAUGCUAAUACCGGGUACUAAAGGCUGGACCUGCGUAGCAUUAGCUAGUUGGUAAGGUAACGGCUGACCAAGGCGAUGAUGCAUAGCUGAGUUGAGAGACUGAUCGGCCACAUUGGGACUGAGACACGGCCCAAACUCCUACGGGAGGCAGCAGUAGGGAAUCUUCCACAAUGGACGAAAGUCUGAUGGAGCAACGCCGCGUGAGUGAAGAAGGUUUUCGGAUCGUAAAGCUCUGUUGUUGGUGAAGCGGUAAUCAACCAGAAAGUCACGGCUAACUACGUGCCAGCAGCCGCGGUAAUUC
rnacentral:rRNA from 1 species